GACGAACGCUGGCGGCGUGCUUAACACAUGCAAGUCGAACGGAAAGGCCCCUUUGGGGGUACUCUAGUGGCGAACGGGUGAGUAACACGUGAGUAACCUGCCCUUUCCUUCGUUUUAACUUCAGUAACCUGGGGCUAAUACCGGUUAGGAAUCCUUGCUGCAUGGUGGGGGUUGGAAAGCUUCGGCGGUUUUGGAUGGAGUCGCGGCGUAUUAGCUUGUUGGUGGGGUAGUGGCUUACCAAGGCUUUGACGGGUAGCCGGCCUGAGAGUGCGACCGGCCACAUUGGGACUGAGAGACGGCCCAGACGCCUACGGGAGGAAGCAGUGGGGAAGAUUGCACAAUGGGCGGAAGCCUGAUGCAGCAACGCCGCGUGCGGGAUGACGGCCUUCGGGUUGUAAAACGCUUUCAGCAGGGGCGAAGCUUGUGGUGACGGUACCUGCAGAAGAAGCACCGGCUAACUACGUG
rnacentral:rRNA from 1 species